AGUGAACGCUGGCGGUAGGCCUAACACAUGCAAGUCGAACGGCAGCACAGGAGAGCUUGCUCUCUGGGUGGCGAGUGGCGGACGGGUGAGGAAUACAUCGGAAUCUACUUUUUCGUGGGGGAUAACGUAGGGAAACUUACGCUAAUACCGCAUACGACCUACGGGUGAAAGCAGGGGAUCUUCGGACCUUGCGCGAUUGAAUGAGCCGAUGUCGGAUUAGCUAGUUGGCGGGGUAAAGGCCCACCAAGGCGACGAUCCGUAGCUGGUCUGAGAGGAUGAUCAGCCACACUUGAACUGGUACACGGUCCAGACUCCUGCGGGAGGCAGCAGUGGGGAAUAUUGGACAAUGGGCGCAAGCCUGAUCCAGCCAUACCGCGUGGGUGAAGAAGGCCUUCGGGUUGUAAAGCCCUUUUGUUGGGAAAGAAAUCCAGCUGGUUAAUACCCGGGUGGGAUGACGGUACCCAAAGAAUAAGCACCGGCUAACUUCGUGCCAGCCGCCGCCGUAA
rnacentral:rRNA from 1 species